rnacentral:rRNA from 1 species
GACGAACGCUGGCGGCGUGCUUAACACAUGCAAGUCGAACGAAAAUACCAAGCUUGCUUGGUUGAUUAGUGGCGGACGGGUGAGUAACACGUGAGUAACCUGCCCCUUACUUUCCUGGAUAACUGCUCGAAAGGGUAGCUAAUACGGGAUAUUCUGACCAGCCUGCAUGGGUUGGUUUGGAAAGGUUGUUUUUCUGGUAAGGGAUGGGCUCGCGGCCUAUCAGCUUGUUGGUGGGGUGAUGGCCUACCAAGGCUUUGACGGGUAGCCGGCCUGAGAGGGUGGACGGUCACACUGGGACUGAGAUACGGCCCAGACUCCUACGGGAGGCAGCAGUGGGGAAUAUUGCACAAUGGGCGCAAGCCUGAUGCAGCGACGCCGCGUGAGGGAUGAAGGCCUUCGGGUUGUAAACCUCUUUCGUCAGGGAACAAGGCACUGCUUUUUUGGUGGUGUUGAGGGUACCUGGAUAAGAAGCGCCGGCUAACUACGUG